rfam:Camelus ferus unplaced genomic scaffold scaffold2028, whole genome shotgun sequence.
GAGGGUAUAGCUCAAGUGGUAGAGCACAUGCUUAGCAUGCAUGAGGACCUGGGUUCGAUCCCUAUUACCUCCU